rnacentral:rRNA from 1 species
GAACGGUAGCGGGGAGAGCUUGCUCUCUGCCGACGAGUGGCGAACGGGUGAGUAAUGCAUCGGAACGUGCCCAGUCGUGGGGGAUAACGCAGCGAAAGCUGUGCUAAUACCGCAUACGAUCUGUGGAUGAAAGCGGGGGACCUUCGGGCCUCGCGCGAUUGGAGCGGCCGAUGUCAGAUUAGGUAGUUGGUGGGGUAAAGGCUCACCAAGCCAACGAUCUGUAGCUGGCUUGAGAGGACGACCAGCCACACUGGGACUGAGACACGGCCCAGACUCCUACGGGAGGCAGCAGUGGGGAAUUUUGGACAAUGGGCGCAAGCCUGAUCCAGCAAUGCCGCGUGCAGGAAGAAGGCCUUCGGGUUGUAAACUGCUUUUGUACGGAACGAAACGGUCUGGGUUAAUACUCUGGGCUAAUGACGGUACCGUAAGAAUAAGCACCGGCUAACUACGUGCCAGCAGCCGCGGUAAUACGUAGGGUGCAAGCGUUAAUCGGAAUUACUGGGCAUAAAGCGUGCGCAGGCGGUUUUGUAAGACAGGCGUGAAAUCCCCGGGCUCAACCUGGGAAUUGCGCUUGUGACUGCAAGGCUAGAGUGCGGCAGAGGGGGAUGGA